CCUCCUCCCAACGACCAGAGCAUGGUCGGGCCUUCGCCGCCGGCCGCCGCCCGCCCAUCCACGGCCAAGCCUCCGCCGCCGCUCCACGGCCAAGCCUCCGCCGCCGUUUGCAGCCGCCAUGGAAUGCCUGGAUGUCGUCAAGAUGCACGCAGGUGCAGCACCUGCAACGGAACGGAAGACCACCGAUGCUCUGCUCUUGAGACAACAGAUGCACGCAGAGGCUAGAUACAUACAUAGCAAUCGUCAGGCUCCAGUUUUGUACUGACCACUCCAAGGCUUGUUCAACCUGGUGAAUCUUUCCUUCAUCUGCAUCAUUUUUCGCUUCAGUCUGUACAUCCUCGCCCUCCGCCCGCCGAUCCUAUUCUCCGCCGCCCGCCUUCCUCUGCUCCUCCUCUGCCGCCAACGAUCUCAUCUGAGCCAGUACAGAAUAUUGCCACUCAUCAACAUCUGCAACAUCUAAGGAAAUCAUGUUUAACUAUCAAUAAGUGAUCCCAUUUCUUGGCUCAGUGAAGUGAUUAUGUGGAUCUUGUGAGGAAAACAGAUAGGCCAAUAAGCCUGGGAGGUUGUCUACAGUCACUGGCCUGCAAGACAAUCCACCAAAGUAUCACCCACAGUCCCGUGAAGAAAAAUGAGACACACUGUUCUUGCAACUUUCCGUUUUUAGGCCUUGAUGCAUUCCAGUCAGAGAAGGUGAUGGAGACCCUUAGACAGCUUGCAGAAGAUGGGCACACGGUCAUAUGCUCUAUACACCAGCCGAGAGGUUCAGUCUAUAGCAAAUGUGAUGACAUUGUGCUACUCUCAGAGGGAGAAGUUGUAUAUAUGGGGCCGGCAAAAGAAGAACCUCUAAAAUACUUUGCGUCAUUAGGGUACCAAUGGCCAGGUCAUGAGAACCCCGCUGAGUUCUUGGCUGAUCUCAUUUCCACUGAUUAUAGCUCAGCUGAAAGUGUACAGUCAUCACAUAAAAGGAUUGAGAACCUAAUUGAUGAUUUUUCAAAUAA